UACAGAGGGGACUAGUAUUAUUCGAAAUGACUGGGCGUAAAAAGUAUGUAGGUGGUUUAUUAUGUUGAAAAUUAAAGACCAAAAUCUUUAUUUUGGGGAGAAUUUCAAAACGAAUAAACUUGAGUUUAAUAGAGGAUAGCGUAAUUUUUGGUGUAGAAAUAAAAUUCAUAAAUAUCAAAAGGAAGACCAUUUGGCGAAGGCUGCUAUCUAAUUUAACUAACUGACACUCAAAUACGAAAGCAUGGGGAGCAAACGGG
rnacentral:rRNA from 1 species